rnacentral:rRNA from 1 species
GACGAACGCUGGCGGCGUGCCUAAUACAUGCAAGUCGAACGCAGUUGCGAACGGGUGAGUAAUGCGUAGGUAACUGCCUCAUAGCGGGGGAUAACUAUUGGAAACGAUAGCUAAUACCGCAUACUGUGAGAUGGACCUGCGUUGGAUUAGUUAGUGGGUGAGGUACAGGCUCACCAAGGCGACGAUACAUAGCCAACCUGAGAGGGUGAUCGGCCACACUGGGACUGAGACACGGCCCAGACUCCUACGGGAGGCAGCAGUAGGGAAUCUUCGGCAAUGGGCGGAAGUCUGACCCAGCAACGCCGCGUGAGUGAAGAAGGCCUUCGGGUUGUAAAGCACUUUCAGCGGGGAGGCGUUACCCGCAGAAGAAGCACCGGCUAACUCCGUGCCAGCAGCCGCGGUAAUAC